ACAUGCAAGUCGAACGAACUCUGGUAUUGAUUGGUGCUUGCAUCAUGAUUUACAUUUGAGUGAGUGGCGAACUGGUGAGUAACACGUGGGAAACCUGCCCAGAAGCGGGGGAUAACACCUGGAAACAGAUGCUAAUACCGCAUAACAACUUGGACCGCAUGGUCCGAGCUUGAAAGAUGGCUUCGGCUAUCACUUUUGGAUGGUCCCGCGGCGUAUUAGCUAGAUGGUGGGGUAACGGCUCACCAUGGCAAUGAUACGUAGCCGACCUGAGAGGGUAAUCGGCCACAUUGGGACUGAGACACGGCCCAAACUCCUACGGGAGGCAGCAGUAGGGAAUCUUCCACAAUGGACGAAAGUCUGAUGGAGCAACGCCGCGUGAGUGAAGAAGGGUUUCGGCUCGUAAAACUCUGUUGUUAAAGAAGAACAUAUCUGAGAGUAACUGUUCAGGUAUUGACGGUAUUUAACCAGAAAGCCACGGCUAACUACGUGCCAGCAGCCGCGGUAAUACGUAGGUGGCAAGCGUUGUCCGGAUUUAUUGGGCGUAAAGCGAGCGCAGGCGGUUUUUUAAGUCUGAUGUGAAAGCCUUCGGCUCAACCGAAGAAGUGCAUCGGAAACUGGGAAACUUGAGUGCAGAAGAGG
rnacentral:rRNA from 1 species